CCUACGGGUGGCAGCAGUGAGGAAUAUUGGUCAAUGGCCGGAAGGCUGAACCAGCCAUGCCGCGUGAAGGUCAGUGCCCUAUGGGCGUUAAACUUCUUUUGUGCGGGAGCAAUAAUGGUCACGUGUGGCCAGACGAGAGUACCGUACGAAUAAGCAUCGGCUAACUCCGUGCCAGCAGCCGCGGUAAUACGGGGGAUGCAAGCGUUAUCCGGGUUUAUUGGGUUUAAAGGGGGCGUAGGCUGUGAGGUAAGUCAGCGGUGAAAUGCCAGCGCUCAACGGGGUGAAGUGCCAUUGAUACUGCCGUGCUGGAAUGCGCAUGCCGUGGGAGGAAUGUGUGGUGUAGCGGUGAAAUGCAUAGAUAUCACACAGAACACCGAUUGCGAAGGCAUCUCACGAAUCCGCGAUUGACGCUGAUGCACGAAAGCGUGGGUAUCAAACAGGAUUAGAUACCCGGGUAGUC
rnacentral:rRNA from 1 species